rnacentral:rRNA from 1 species
UACAGAGGGGGCAAGCGUUGUUCGGAAUUACUGGGCGUAAAGGGCGCGUAGGCGGCCUGUUAAGUCGAACGUGAAAUCCCCGGGCUCAACCCGGGAACUGCGUCCGAUACUGGCAGGCUUGAAUUCGGGAGAGGGAUGCGGAAUUCCAGGUGUAGCGGUGAAAUGCGUAGAUAUCGGGAGGAACACCUGUGGCGAAAGCGGCGCACUGGACCACAUCUGACGCUGAGGCGCGAAAGCUAGGGGAGCAAGCAGG